rnacentral:lncRNA from 1 species
GGCUAUGUCAUUGAGAUUCAACUAUUCUAUCCCUAUGGGCUAUGUCAUAGAGAUACAACUAUUCUAUACAUUGGGCCUAGUCAUGGAGAUAAAAAUCUUCUAUCACUAUGGGUUAUGUCACAGAGAUAAAACUAUUCUAUCCAUAUGGGCCUUGUCCAUGGGAUAAAACGAUUUCUUCACUAUGGGCCUAUGUCACAGAGAUAAAACUAUUAUAUUCCAUUGGGGCCUAUUCAUGGAGAUAAAACUAUUCAUUCACUAGGGUCUAUGUCACAGAGAUAAAAGUUCUAUCAUAUGGUCUAGUCACAGAGAUUAAACUAUUCUAUCACUAUGGGUCUAUGUCACAGAGAUAAAAAAACUAUUCCUAUCCAAUGGGUCUAUGUCAUGGAGAUAAAACUAUUCUAUCACUAUGGCCUAUGUCAUGGAGAUAAAACUAUUCUAUCACUAUGGGUCUAUGUCACAGAGAUAAAACUAUUCUAUCUCGAUGGGUCUAUGUCACAGAGAUAAAACUAUUCUAUCUCUAUGGGUCUAUGUCACAGAGAUACAACUAUUCUAUCUCUAUGGACUAUGUGCUCAGCUGCUCUGUAUGCAGCAGGGUGACAUCAUGUGACUAGCGUUUCCAGGAUACCUGGAGUGCGGCUAAGCUGCCCAAUUAAAGCUUGCCUUGAAAACCAAUGCCUCAUACAGUUUAAGUGAUUGCUCUCAAUGAGGGUUUGCUUCAUGCAGAUUGCGACCAGGGUAUGACAAGAAGGAUUAUUUGUCAAUUGAGAGACGACGAGAGAAAAUCCAAUAAAAUCAUAGGCUAUCACUACACAAGGUGAGUGUUUAAACCUUUUUGAAUGUGAAUUAGGCAUAGGCAUCUUCGUAUCCCAGAUUGUUAGCCUACAAAUGAUUAAGGAACAAUGUGGGAUAAUAUGAUGUUCUAUGGUAAUUUAAUCUAAUGAUAUAACCAUUUGAUUAUUGAAGAAUAUAAUAAUUAUAUGAGCCUACUCUAUUGUUACACAACAUUUAAGGUUGUUUUCUACUUUUUUUUGUUAUCUGAAUUCUUUUAAAAAACUGUCAUGGACUGUCAGUCCCUUGAAUCGAUUGCCCAGACGAAUUUGAGAGUUGCAUUUCUCCAGCCCAUUUAUACCAAACCAAUGGGGACUGGAUCACUAUCAGACCAAGAUGUCCAGAUUUAUAUUUUAAUAUUCCAUCAAAUCAAUUGAUGACAUUUGA